GGAGCUGAGGGAAGGAAAAGAAACCAUGAGAAAUGAGGCUCCUGCAACAACAAAAAAUAAAAUACCUACAGAGAAACCAAAUAAGAUAUGUGUGGUAUUGACUUAAGAAAAACUGGAGCUUUUAUUUAUGAAAUUUACUAAGCUAUUUAGAUUCAUAAAGAAGGAUGAAUAGAGAGACAUACCACAUUCCUGGAUAGGAUGUCACAGUGUCCUUAAGUUGUCACUUCUUUGAAAUUAAUUUAUAAACUUCACAUAUUUCCAACCAAGUUAUACCAAGUAAUUGUAUUUUAAAGAUCAUUAUGGAAAAGAGGUUUUUUUUAAAAAAUUAAUUGUGUUGUUUAACAACAGCCAGGAAACACUUGGAAGAAUGAUGAGGGAGGACCUGUCCACCAGAUAGCUAUAAAGCUACAGUAAUUAGCACAGUGUUAUGGAACAGGCUGAGUCAUUUACCAGAUAUAUUGUUGACCACCAACUGUGUUACCAGGUACCAUUCCUAGGGGAGAGAUACCAUUACAAAUACAGUUGUAAACCAGAUAAAUUUUCUCUCUCACAGAUUAUAGUCUAGCCGAGAAAAGGGUCAGUAGAACAAAUUAAAACCCUUCCAACACAAACGGUUCAGAAAAAAUUUUACACGUAGGAAUUCAGGAUAUGAAAAAGUGAUAUUUCAUAUCAGUGAGAAAAGGAUGAACUAGGACUUAGAACAAGGGCUUACCAUUUGGAAAAUAAAAGUUUGCACAUAAAAUGAAGCUACAGUACUAGAAGUACAGAUGAACUUUUUGUGAUCAUAAUGGGAUAGAUGACGUCCAAACACAGACUUGACACAGACUUGAAGGGAUGGUUUUCAUGUCUAACCAUAUGAAAAUGUAACAUUUCUGCCUAGUUAGAAAACACUGUAUCAUACAAAAUUUAAAAACAAAACUCAGAUUGCAUAAAAAUAUUCAUUAGUGUUCAUAAUGCAAAUUUAAACAACCUUCUCAGAAAGUUAGAGUAUAGGAACACCCAGACUUGAUGUGGGUCCAUCAGGCACACACUGCAAAUGUUUACAAACUGCUACAUUUCUGGAGAGAAUAAGAUGUGGGAUCAAAAGCCUUACAGUAUGACCCAGAAAUUUCAUGUGAAGAGAUUUAAAGAAUGAGACAGGGAUGGCCUAUAUUGUUUAUAACAGAUGAGGAAGAC